AAAUUAUCUCUUCUCUCUCAAUUUUGCUCAAAAAAAAAAACUUCAAUAACAUUUUGCAUCAAUUGAUCAAUUUUGGAUGGAUCUUUGUGAUAAUUCUAUGCAUGUUCAUCAUUGUUAGCUAUUGUGAAGCUUCUGUUUGCAGGUAAAAUCCAAGAAUCAUCCGCAUUUCGCAACGGUUGCAAAACCAGUGAGAUUCCGUCACAGUCCAAGAACUGAUGCGAUUUGGAGAUUUUGGAGCUUCAAGAACCACUCCACGCACCUGCCACGACCG
rnacentral:lncRNA from 1 species